GGAGGGCCCAUGGCUCAAUGGCAAAGCAUCUGCAUGGCAUGCAGAAGGCCCCAGGUUCAAUCCCAGGCAACUCCA
rnacentral:tRNA from 1 species